CCUACGGGAGGCUGCAGUGGGGAAUAUUGCACAAUGGGGGAAACCCUGAUGCAGCGACGCCGCGUGAGUGAAGAAGGAAUUCGUUAUGUAAAGCUCUAUCAGCAGGGAAGAAAAUGACGGUACCUGAGUAAGAAGCCCCGGCUAACUACGUGCCAGCAGCCGCGGUAAUACGUAGGGGGCAAGCGUUAUCCGGAUUUACUGGGGGGAAAGGGAGCGUAGACGGCAGUGCAAGUCUGGAGUGAAAGGCGGGGGCUCAACCCCCGGAGUGCUCUGGAAACUGUACGGCUGGAGUGCAGGAGAGGUAAGUGGAAUGCGUAGUGUAGCGGUGAAAUGCGUAGAUAUUAGGAGGAACACCAGUGGCGAAGGCGGCUUACUGGACUGUAACUGACGUUGAGGCUCGAAAGCGUGGGGAGCAAACAGGAUUAGAUAUCCGAGUAGUC
rnacentral:rRNA from 1 species